GUGUGUGUGAGAGAGAGAGAGAGAGAGAGAGAGCGCGCGCGCAGGGGUGUAGCUAGCUGCUCUGGCACCCGGAGCAGUAGGGGUGGGGUGAGCCGCCCACGGGGGCAGCAAUCCGUGCACAGGGGCGGCACAGCGCAGUGAGCUGCCCACGGAGUCCGCCGGUGGACGCAAGCCCCAUACUGCUGUUUCGGGCAGCGCGGGACCCCGAGCCACCGCGUCACUCCCAGGAGAGACACGUGGCUCGGGUGCGUUGCAGACCAGGCCCCACGGUAAGUGCCAUUUUGUCACCACCUCAGGGAUUACACCCAGGGCAGCCUACACCCCCACACCCGCUUCCUACACCCCAGAGAGAGAGGGAGGGAGGGAGAGAGAGAGAUCCCUUGAGGCUUUCCCCACCCAUGCUGUGUAGCCCUAGAAGGCAGAGCCGUAGCAAUAACAAUAACAAUAACAAUAACAAUUUAUUUAUACCCCGCCCGUCUGGCUGAGUUUCCCCAGCCAUUCUGGGUGGCUCCCAAUCAAGUGUUAAAAACAGUACAGCAUUAAAUAUUUAAAACUUCCCUGAACAGGGCUGCCUUCAGAUGUCUUCUAAAGAUAGGAUAGCUGCUUAUUUCCUUCACAUCUGAAGGGAGGGUGUUCUACAAAGGGGCUAGCCUUUUUUUUUUUUUUUGCCCCAGGUGAAGCCUCCAGAGAGGCACCAUUGAUGCUCCCAGCCUGUGUAUGUGUGUAUGCAAAGGCCUGUGUGUGUGUGUGAAACUGGGUCUUUGACCAAGGUGAAAUAAAGCCUAGUUUUGCCCCUGCCAGAAGGCAUCCAGUGUUUUCUCCAAGGCAAUACUUUUCAGGCUGAAGUCCAGGGCUUCGCUCAAAAAGAAUGAGUAGGAGUGUCCCUAAAUCAGCAAGGCUGGCUUAUUGCAUUUGGCAGUAAAUGAUGUAAUUAAUACACAUUACCAUCUAAAGAGGGGUGUCCACUGUGUCAUCAAUAUCAAUAUAACAACCAGACAAUUAAAAAAAAAAUCACAUUCCAUCUUUCUCUCUUUAAACCCACAAACCCAAGUACUUCUAAAGGAUUAGGCUGUCCCCCAAGUAUGUAGAAGCCACACAAAUCUUAUUUUUGGGUAGUGGUAUUUUGUUUCCAAACUGAUAGGCACUCAACCUUCUUAGUUUGCUAUAAUAACAGGGCUUAUGGCUGAUUGCUUGACAUGUUGAAUCUCGUUAUUUGAAAUAAAUGGCUAAUCCUGUUUUUUUUGUUUUUUUAAAAAAAAGGAUAAUGAGAAGCAAGGCUGAUUUUGUUCUCUUCCUACAAAAGGCAUUUGGUCUUCAGUGUUAUCUCUGAAAGGAGGAAAUAAAUAGAAAGGUUAGUGGUUUAUGUAAGAAAUUUCUCAUGCUGUCAUAUUAAAAGGAAAUCGCCAUUUAUGAAAGUCAUUUGUUGAAAUCAACUUCAAUUAGGCUCCCUUUUGCUAUGUGAUGGUUUCUGCCUGCUGGCAAUACAGUAUCUUCCGUAAGUGGGGUUUUUUUUAAAAUAAUGAUUCUGGAUGAAUCAUUUUCUCUGCAAAUUAUAGGAAUAUAGAAAUAAAAGGUGGGACCAUCCAGCCCGAAACGCAAGGUACUCUUUUCUUGACUGCCAUUGCAGCAGAGCAAUUAUUAAGGUCCUAAAAUCAAUCCCAGGCAUCUCCAUGUAGCACAAGGAGCAGAUGAGGAAGCUGAUUAGUCUCCUGUAGGUCCAGCACAUACUCUACCCUAUAUAGAUCAUGUUGUGCCAUAUGCAGCAUACCACAAGUAAGAAGACAACAUCUAGUACAUAAAGAGCCAUCCAUUAUUAUGCCAGUGCUGAAACUGAUGGUCCAUCUAGCCUAAUAAUGUCAAUGAUGAAUGAAUGAAUGAAUGAAUAGUCUCAAACCUGACUGCCUAGAAAUACCUUUCUCAGCACUGCCUCUUGGAGAUGUUGCUAAGUCAAUGUUGAGCGUCAGGUAAUUGAUCUUGUGUUCUAUCUUGCCUACCCAUCUGCUAAAUAGAAAGUGAGUACUGUUAUCAAAGGCUGAGCACAUACAAUAGGUUUGUUAAGGGCUGGGGGAAAUUGUAACUCUCAUUCCCGCCAACAUUUCUCCGAUGAAAAUAGGAUUAAAUAUCCUAUUCAACAACAACAACAACAAAAACAACAACACUCCGCCCAUCAGGUCUGGGUUGCCUCAGCCAUUCUGGGCAGCUUCCAAAAUAUAUUUAAAAUGCAACAAAACAUUAAACAUUAAAAAACUAUACAGGGCUGCCUUCCUAUGUCUUCUAAAGGUUGUAUAUCUUCUUGACUCGGGGGGGGGGUGUCACAUAAUUCCAUACCCUCCAACAUUUCUCUGAUAAAAAUAGGGACGUCCUAAGGAAAAGUGGGACAUUCUGGGAUCAAAUCAGAAACCGGGACGGCUUCUGUAAAUCCGGGACUGUCCCUGGAAAAUAGGGACGCUUGGAGGGUCUGUGAGGGGUAAACUACAAUGCCCAGAAUUCUUUGAUGGAAAGAAUGUGCUUUGAAUGUGCUUUAAAGGUAUAGUGAUCUACUCCCAGUAUUAAAAAAAAGCUGGCAGUCAUCUACCCAUUGUCAUUGGAGCGAAGAGGAACAUGCAUGGGGUGGGAGGAUUGCUGAGAGUUGUUGAGCUUUUUUUGGGAAGGGUUGCACAGAGUUUUAAAGCUUUUUUUGCAACUUUUUGUACACAAUAAGGAUCCCGCGAUCUACCAGGAUCAGCCAGGGAUCUACCAGUAGAUUGCAGUCUACUGGUUGGACAUCCCUGGUAUAGUGUGUUCACAGCCAAAGAGGCCCCUUGGCCAUGUCAAAAAGAGCUAUUAUAUGUCAACUGAGGCAGGAGCUUCUUUACUUACAUACUCUGAUGACCUUGUCCCAGUGAGCAGGGUUGAUCAGAGGGUAAUACCUUCUGAGCAAGGAAUGCACUUCGUAAACAUCAAGUCAGUCAGAAAGUUUAGCCAAAUGAGCUUUGUCACAUUCUGGGGUAGAGGAAAAUACAGGGGGGAGGCAAGCCCUUUCUUCAGCCGGAACUCAGUUCUGGCACCUCUCAGGUGGGUUCCAUUGCCAUUGUAAGAAAACAAGGGAGGUGUUCAUGGUGGGUUCCGGCACUUAUUUUUCUAGAAACAUAGCACUGGGGGGGGGGGGGAUUUGGAAUUUCAAGUAUGGUGGACCCUGAGCAUUAAAACAAAGCUCACCAUUACCUCAGCAUGGAUCUCCCAGCUACUGAUUUGAUCCCCAACAUUUCAUAAGAAAUUCAUUGCAAGGGUGUAGAAAGACUUCUGGCUGAAAUCCUAGAUGUCUGAAUUUCAGAGAUAUUGCCAGAAAGGGUUGGCGGGACUUGUCCUGAUCAAGCAUUAGUCUGAUAGCAUAUGGUAAUUCUUUUUUAUUGUGACAGGAGGCAGAUAAGUGAUUAUUAUUAGCCUGCCUUUCUCCAAUAGCGUUCAAUUUUGGGUCAGCAAAAGCAGAGAGUAGCAGGAUAAUCCACUUCCAGUGGUUCAGGGCUCAGCCACACUUCUGCUUGUCCCUCUGCUUUCUCCCGGGAAAACUCUCUCCUUACCGCUGAAUCAGAGCAAAUGACAACUGGUUUUUCUGCAGAUUGAUGUUUGCUGUGAUUCAGUGGUAAAGAGCAGGUAUUCCUAGGUAAACUGGUGGGGCAAAUGGAAAAGCACUUGGGGCCCUUCCCUAGAAAGCAUGCUUUGGGAGGUCACAUCCACACAAUACAGUCAUACCUCGGGUUGAAGUAGAUUCGGGUUAAGCGUUUUAGGGUUGCGCUCUGCAGCGAUCCGGAAGUGAUGGAACGCUUUACUUCCGGGUUCGCCGCAUGCGCAGACGCUCAAAAUGACGUCACGCGCAUGCACGGAAGCGGUGAAUUAUGACCUGCACAUGCGCAGACGCGGGUUGCGUUCGCUUCAGGAUGUGAACGGGGCUCCGGAACGGAUCCUGUUUGCAUCCAGAGGUACCACUGUACAUUUAAAGCACUUGUAUCCUACUUAGCAGUCAUGGCUUCCUCCAAAGAAUCUUGGGAACUGUAGUUUAUUUCUCACAGAGUUGCAAUAGCCAGCACUUAGGGAUAGAAGAAUCUGUCGGUUUUGGUUCUCUUACAGUCUUUUCAGGUCUUAAAUUCAGUUCUGCACAUUUCUGCAGCAAUUUGCAUUUUUUUAAAACAACAACAAUAACUCUUUUUCGUUCAAAUUCCUCCUCUUUUAGUCAAUGCCUUAAAACAACAGCAUAUGAAAUGCCAAGUUUUUGCAAUAUGCUCUGCCCAUGGGGAUCAUAUACUAUAUUCAGGAAAAACAAAUCUCCACUUUUCUGAAGUCUAUGAAUCACUUUGUGCCUCCAAGGAGCCUUUUCAGGAAUGUAUUGAAUCAUUUUUACACAGUGUUUUUGUCCCAAAUUUUACUCCAGAAUUUAGGGAAUGCUUUCAUGAUAAAGUAACAUCUGAGGAAGUGCACUGUUAUUUCUAAACUAAAACCACAGCACUGAUCUGGUCCAGAUAGAUUGUCCGCAGACUUCUACAAAUGAGGUAAUGGUCCCACACCUUGUGGACCUAUUUAAUGGGAUUGUUGGGAGCAAUAGUGGGUGGUAAUCCAAAAGCCAGGAAAAGAUCCCAAACUGGUGGAUUCUUAUCACCCUAAUUCGCUCCUCAGUCAGGGCAAGGAAAUGCACCCCCAGGAGAAAAGAGUGUCUUUACCUCAGGCACUACUGUGUGUGUGUGUGUGUGUGUGUGUGUGCGCGCGCGCGCUUAUGUCAGGGCAGCAAACUUUUUCUGCUCAGGGGCAACAGAAUAAAUACAGCCAUCUUGAAUGCAGAGACCAGUUGGUCCUGGAGAUUGGUCCUGGCUCUUUUUCAUGGCAGUGGACCAGAUCACAUAGUCUGUAAUGUCAGCUUUCAGAUUCUAUCAACUUGUGCAAAAGGGAGCACAAUGCUUGAAUGCUACAUUCCUAUUUACAUGCAAAUUAUCCCUGGAUUGGCUCCUUUCCCUUGUUUUCUUUUUCAUCAGGUAUAACCCAACCCAUCACUGUUUCCAAGGGCAGUGAGUUCCGCAGCUGUGAAUGUAUGGUUUUCAUUCCUUUAGCUAGCUUUUAUCAGGUCAACACAUAUGCUGCUGAUCUCCAGUUUUAUCACAACCUCUCACAUCUCUUGCCUCCUCUGCAGUCCCAAUCUGUCUCUUUGGCAAGAUGAAGAGCUUGUGUCAGAAAUGGACUGGAUGUGUUUAAGAGGUCAAGAAAGAAGAUGUCCUUUCUGAAGUGGAUUGAAAUCUCCAGGGCUCUUUGAAGUCUCUUGCCAUUCCUUUUGAACAGAUGUUGAAAUAAAGGGGAAAUAGAUGGUUUAAAAAAAUUGA